GCAGGUGUGGCAGACUGCAGUUUGAUCUAGACUUUGCAGGAAGGUAGACCUCCAGGACCAGGGUUGGUUACCACUGUUGUAAAGGAUUCUUUGCUCAGGUGUGCAGAUCAGUUAGUGAAGCUUUCUGGGGGAUGUGUGCAGCAGAUGCCAUGUCUAUGCAAGUUCACUGGAGCUACAAUGUCCAGGACAUCCAAACUGAUUUCAACGACUGGAUCACAGAAUUCAGUGCACCUAAAGAACGGCAUCCUUCAAGUAUCCAACCCUCUCCAGCGCAGCUGGCAGUGGGCACACAGCCUCAUUAUCUGACAACAAAUCUCCGUGUUGGGGAAUGUCAUCCUCCAUGACAAACUGAAGUACUGGAAAGCCCCUAAAGGCUCAGUGCACCAUAAAGGUCCGCUGGCAGGAGAGAACACACUGAAUUUACUCUGCGCAUUAAGGGUUGCUCAAGUGCUUUCUUCAGGGCGCUUUGUCAGUGUUGCUGUCCUCUCUGACUAUGUCCACUUCCUGACCAACCCUGGCAGUCACAGCGACACCUACGCAGAGUCAUUUCAUCGAUCCUUCUUCACUGACUGGCAGGAGCUGUACCCUACAUCAGAUGGUUGAUCUUUGAACACCUGUACCAUCCAAGAUGCCACUGAUUUUGGCUCCUUUCAUCUUAAUGUACUAGAGUCAAAUAGGUUUCCAUUCUCCUUCCACAAACACUAGCAAAAAUCUCAAUUAACCUAAUGAAUUGUCGCAACACGCAAAUAAAUGUUAUUAUUACAUGUA